rnacentral:rRNA from 1 species
GGAGCUUGAUCAUGGCUCAGAUUGAACGCUGGCGGCAGGCCUAACACAUGCAAGUCGAACGGUAACAGGAAACAGCUUGCUGUUUCGCUGACGAGUGGCGGACGGGUGAGUAAUGUCUGGGAAACUGCCUGAUGGAGGGGGAUAACUACUGGAAACGGUAGCUAAUACCGCAUAACGUCGCAAGACCAAAGAGGGGGACCUUCGGGCCUCUUGCCAUCAGAUGUGCCCAGAUGGGAUUAGCUAGUAGGUGGGGUAACGGCUCACCUAGGCGACGAUCCCUAGCUGGUCUGAGAGGAUGACCAGCCACACUGGAACUGAGACACGGUCCAGACUCCUACGGGAGGCAGCAGUGGGGAAUAUUGCACAAUGGGCGCAAGCCUGAUGCAGCCAUGCCGCGUGUAUGAAGAAGGCCUUCGGGUUGUAAAGUACUUUCAGCGGGGAGGAAGGGAGUAAAGUUAAUACCUUUGCUCAUUGACGUUACCCGCAGAAGAAGCACCGGCUAACUCCGUGCCAGCAGCCGCGGUAAUACGGAGGGUGCAAGCGUUAAUCGGAAUUACUGGGCGUAAAGCGCACGCAGGCGGUUUGUUAAGUCAGAUGUGAAAUCCCCGGGCUCAACCUGGGAACUGCAUCUGAUACUGGCAAGCUUGAGUCUCGUAGAGGGGGGUAGAAUUCCAGGUGUAGCGGUGAAAUGCGUAGAGAUCUGGAGGAAUACCGGUGGCGAAGGCGGCCCCCUGGACGAAGACUGACGCUCAGGUGCGAAAGCGUGGGGAGCAAACAGGAUUAGAUACCCUGGUAGUCCACGCCGUAAACGAUGUCGACUUGGAGGUUGUGCCCUUGAGGCGUGGCUUCCGGAGCUAACGCGUUAAGUCGACCGCCUGGGGAGUACGGCCGCAAGGUUAAAACUCAAAUGAAUUGACGGGGGCCCGCACAAGCGGUGGAGCAUGUGGUUUAAUUCGAUGCAACGCGAAGAACCUUACCUGGUCUUGACAUCCACGGAAGUUUUCAGAGAUGAGAAUGUGCCUUCGGGAACCGUGAGACAGGUGCUGCAUGGCUGUCGUCAGCUCGUGUUGUGAAAUGUUGGGUUAAGUCCCGCAACGAGCGCAACCCUUAUCCUUUGUUGCCAGCGGUCCGGCCGGGAACUCAAAGGAGACUGCCAGUGAUAAACUGGAGGAAGGUGGGGAUGACGUCAAGUCAUCAUGGCCCUUACGACCAGGGCUACACACGUGCUACAAUGGCGCAUACAAAGAGAAGCGACCUCGCGAGAGCAAGCGGACCUCAUAAAGUGCGUCGUAGUCCGGAUUGGAGUCUGCAACUCGACUCCAUGAAGUCGGAAUCGCUAGUAAUCGUGGAUCAGAAUGCCACGGUGAAUACGUUCCCGGGCCUUGUACGCACCGCCCGUCACACCAUGGGAGUGGGUUGCAAAAGAAGUAGGUAGCUUAACCUUCGGGAGGGCGCUUACCACUUUGUGAUUCAUGACUG